AGUGAACGCUGGCGGUAGGCCUAACACAUGCCAGUCGAACGGCAGCACAGUAAGAGCUUGCUCUUACGGGUGGCGAGUGGCGGACGUGUGAGGAAUACAUCGUAAUCUACUUUUUCGUGGGGGAUAACGUAGGGAAACUUACGCUAAUACCGCAUACGACCUACGGGUGAAAGCAGGGGAUCUUCGGACCUUGCGCGAUUGAAUGAGCCGAUGUCGGAUUAGCUAGUUGGCGGGGUAAAGGCCCACCAAGGCGACGAUCCGUAGCUGGACUGAGAGGAUGAUCGGCCACACUGGAACUGGGACACGGUCCAGACUCCUACGGGAGGCAGCAGUGGGGAAUAUUGGACAAUGGGCGCAAGCCUGAUCCAGCCAUACCGCGUGGGUGAAGAAGGCCUUCGGGUUGUAAAGCCCUUUUGUUGGGAAAGAAAAGCAGCAGGUUAAUACCCCGCUGUUCUGACGGUACCCAAAGAAUAAGCACCGGCUAACUUCGUG
rnacentral:rRNA from 1 species